rnacentral:rRNA from 1 species
AGACUCCUACGGGAGGCAGCAGUGGGGAAUAUUGCACAAUGGGCGCAAGCCUGAUGCAGCCAUGCCGCGUGUGUGAAGAAGGCCUUCGGGUUGUAAAGCACUUUCAGCGGGGAGGAAGGCGUUAAGGUUAAUAACCUCAUCGAUUGACGUUACCCGCAGAAGAAGCACCGGCUAACUCCGUGCCAGCAGCCGCGGUAAUACGGAGGGUGCAAGCGUUAAUCGGAAUUACUGGGCGUAAAGCGCACGCAGGCGGUCUGUCAA